rnacentral:rRNA from 1 species
UUGGUUAAGUUAGAAAGGGCGCACGGUGGAUGCCUUGGCACUAGGAGCCGAAGAAGGACGGGACUAACACCGAUAUGCUUUGGGGAGCUGUACGUAAGCGUUGAUCCAGAGAUUUCCGAAUGGGGGAACCCACUAUCUUUAGUCGGAUAGUAUCCUUACGUGAAUACAUAGCGUGAGGAAGGCAGACCCAGGGAACUGAAACAUCUAAGUACCUGGAGGAAGAGAAAGAAAAAUCGAUUUCCUGAGUAGCGGCGAGCGAAACGGAAAGAGCCCAAACCAAGAAGCUUGCUUCUUGGGGUUGUAGGACACUCUAUACGGAGUUACAAAAGAAAGUUAUAAAUGAAGCGGUCUGGAAAGGCCCGCCAAAGACGGUAACAGCCCGGUAGUUGAAAUGGCUUUCCCUCCAGAGUGGAUCCUGAGUACGGCGGAACACGUGAAAUUCCGUCGGAAUCCGGGAGGACCAUCUCCCAAGGCUAAAUACUCCCUAGUGACCGAUAGUGAACCAGUACCGUGAGGGAAAGGUGAAAAGCACCCCGGAAGGGGAGUGAAACAGUUCCUGAAACCGUGUGCCUACAAGUAGUUAGAGCCCGUUAAUGGGUGAUAGCGUGCCUUUUGUAGAAUGAACCGGCGAGUUACGAUUUGUUGCAAGGUUAAGCGGAAAAAGCGGAGCCGUAGCGAAAGCGAGUCUGAAUAGGGCGCAUAAGUAACAGGUCGUAGACCCGAAACCAGGUGAUCUACCCAUGUCCAGGAUGAAGGUAAGGUAAUACUUACUGGAGGUCCGAACCCACGCACGUUGAAAAGUGCGGGGAUGAGGUGUGGGUAGCGGAGAAAUUCCAAUCGAACUUGGAGAUAGCUGGUUCUCUCCGAAAUAGCUUUAGGGCUAGCCUCGAGGUAAAGAGUCAUGGAGGUAGAGCACUGUUUGGACUAGGGGCCCUUCUCGGGUUACCGAAUUCAGAUAAACUCCGAAUGCCAUGUACUUAUACUCGGGAGUCAGACUGCGAGUGAUAAGAUCCGUAGUCGAAAGGGAAACAGCCCAGACCACCAGUUAAGGUCCCCAAAUAUAUGUUAAGUGGAAAAGGAUGUGGGGUUGCUUAGACAACCAGGAUGUUGGCUUAGAAGCAGCCACCAUUGAAAGAGUGCGUAAUAGCUCACUGGUCGAGUGACCCCGCGCCGAAAAUGUACCGGGGCUAAACAUAUUACCGAAACUGUGGAUGAACCUCUUUAGAGGUUCGUGGUAGGAGAGCGUUCUAAGGGCGGUGAAGUCAGACCGGAAGGACUGGUGGAGCGCUUAGAAGUGAGAAUGCCGGUAUGAGUAGCGAAA